rnacentral:rRNA from 1 species
CAGAGACGGUGAGAGUCCGGUAAGCGAGCAAAUCAUGCACGGUAGAGGAUUCCUGAGUAAGGCGGGACCAGCGAAAUCCCGUCUGAAUCCGGCGGUACCAUCCGCCAAGGCUACAUACUCCUGAGAGACCGAUAGUGAACUAGUACCGUGAGGGAAAGGUGAAAAGAACCGGGAAUACCGGAGUGAAAAGAACCUGAAACCGUGUGCUUACAAGCGGUCAGAGGGGCUUCGUGCCCUGAUGGCGUGCCUUUUGCAUAAUGAGCCUACGAGUUACUCUUCU